CUUACGGCCAGGGCUACACACGUGCUACAAUGGUCGGUACAAAGGGUUGCCAAGCCGCGAGGUGGAGCUAAUCCCAUAAAACCGAUCGUAGUCCGGAUCGCAGUCUGCAACUCGACUGCGUGAAGUCGGAAUCGCUAGUAAUCGUGAAUCAGAACGUCACGGUGAAUACGUUCCCGGGCCUUGUACACACCGCCCGUCACACCAUGGGAGUGGGUUGCUCCAGAAGUAGGUAGCCUAACCGUAACCAGGGCGAUUACCACGGCAGGG
rnacentral:rRNA from 1 species